GAGCCACUCAGGUGCCCCUGAAUUUUGUUGUUUUAUUGAAAAUAUGUUGCAUACAGUUAGCAAGCAGCUUCAUUAAAUCAUCAUAGACAUCACAAAGGCUGGUGCAGGCAGAAAAUUCAUCAUUCUCUAGGGAGAAAAUAUAAUCCAGUAUAUUCUAAUGUAAUAGCUAUUGUGUUGGGAACAGGAAGAGAAUGUGGUUUUAAAACCGAACAGAACUGCCUCGUAAUUAGCUAUGACUCCCUAAUUUCUGAUCGGUGAAUUGGGAAUAGUCAUACCUGCAUGUAGAAAGCGUUACUAUUAUUCCCCAAUAUCUGGUUCUCUACUUCUGAACACGGGAGGGGGCUGUAGUUCUCUGUUCUCUUGAAGUCGGGUUUGUCCACGUGAUUGUUUUGGCCAAUGAGCCCUGGGUGAAAGUAUCCUGUGUUAUUUCCGAGUGGAAGCAUUGACUAGUCAAUGUUGGGGUCUCAUCACACUGUUUUCCCUGACCCAGACAUCGUGGAAUCAAUGUUGACAUGGAGGGUCCCUAUGGAAUCCUGGGCCAGCGUGUGGGUUGGUUCUCAGACCCAAAGCCACGUCUGUGAGUGACAAAAACUAUUCAGGUAAAACUCUGAGAUUUGAGAGUGUGUGUUACCGCAAUACAUUCCGGCCUAUCCUGACCAUAGACUCUUCACGGAGUCAUCACCAGGAUUCAAGAAGAUUAUGAAAAUAUCUAGCGCACUUGCUGCAAUAAAGAUCAGCUACCAGGGGAGCUACAUAUGAAUGAAGCACAGAAAAUACUCCAUAGGUGAGGUUCCCAACACAUGGUGCUGGGAAAACUGGAUAUCCACGUGCAAAAGAGUGACAUUGGAUGCUUACUUAACACCGCAUACAAAAAUUAACACCGCAUGUAUCACAGCCCUAAAUAUAAGAGCUGUAACUCUAGACCUCUUAGAAGAAAACACAGAGGGAGAGCUGCAGAACACUGGUUUUGAUCGUGAUUUCUUGGAUAGGACACCAAAGGCAUAGGCAACAAAAGAAGAACAAGGCAACUUGGGCUCCAUCAGAAUUUUUAAAAAUGUAUGUCAAAGGACACCAUGGACAGAGUGACAAGGCAAGUCAUAGAACGAGAGAAAAUAUUUGCAAAUCACACAUCUGAUAAAGGAUUGAUACCCGGAAUGUCGAAAGAACCUCUUUUUUCUUUUAGUUUUUUAAAGGUUCAUUUACUUAUUUAUUUUGAGACACCGAGAGAGAGAGAGAGAGAGAGAGAGCGCGAGCAGGAGUGGGGGAGGGGCAAAGAGAGCGAGAGCGAGAAUCCCAAGCAGGCUCCACACUGUCCGCGCUGUCCUUGCUGUCCUUGCGGUCAGCGUGGAGCCCGACACGGGACUCAAACUCAUGAACUGUGAGAUCAUGACCUGAGCUGAAGCCGAGAGUUGGCAGUUUAACUGAUUCAGCCACCCAGGCGUCCCAGAAUGUAGAGAGAGCUUCUAACACUCAACAACAGAAAUCAACCCAGUUUAAAAAUGAGCACAGGAUGUGAACAGACAUUUCUCCGAAGGAGAUAAACGACCAAUAACCACAUGAAAACAAGCUAAAAGCCAAAGAAUCUACGUUCCCGCUCCAAGGGGGAAGGAAGAGCGUUCGUCAUUCUCUGAGUUUCUCCUAGGCCCCCAAACACCCGAUAACAUCUAAGAAGAGCCAGAUCCCAAACAUGUUCUAGGACAUCAGCUUCAAACAAACCUCAGCCAAGAUUCCUGGAGGAACACGUUCCCUGGACCCUCUUCCAAAUAACCCCCCAGCCCCAAGUGACGACAGGACUCAUUCUCCAUUCCUUUCCGUGUCUCCCAGACAUUCUGUCUGGUAUUUUCCGUCACACUUUUCGAUAAACUCUGUUUUCACUUUC